UGCUUCCUCAUCAGUCCAUCCAGAGGGAAUGGAGGAGCAGAAACAGCAGAACCAGCCGGACUCUGGGCUUGGUGGAACUGGCGAGGCGCUGGCAUGUGGAGGCUGAGGCAGUCCCCAGGGGGCGGGGCCACAAGGUAACGAAGCAGUGCCCCACGUCUUCUGGGAGCUGUUCGUAGUUCUCCAGUUCCUUCAGGAAGAUACUGAGGAACACAGAGAUGUCCUGGAUGUUUCCGAACACGACGUCGUCCUUGUUGGUGAGUCCAGGUGGGAUUUCCUCCGAGCCGCUGGUCAUCUCCCACAGGUACGUCUGCAACGGCAAACCGAGUCACUUCAGCUUCUCCUGCCACUUCUUACGGGGAAAUCAACACUUCCUGCACGACUUUCGGUUCAAACAUUUACAGAAUAUCUGGUUCAUUUGGUCAGAGGAUGUUUUCUGGAACAAUCUUUGUUCAGUCAGCUGAGUAACUCCUGACUGUGGACAUUUAAAGGGACAUAGUGGCAUUUUGUUGCAAAACCAAGUAACUAUGUUACUUUCAGUUGUUAUAAAAUUGCUAUAAAUAUCAAUCAUUUUGCUUCCUGAUUUAACUCCUUGAAAUUCCACCAGCUCCACCAGCUGUUUGCUAAUUGCUGCUGGCUAGUCUGCAGGAGCCGAGAAGGGGAGGAGCUGCACCUCAAAGGCGGGGCUAGGUCCAAUCAGGCGUUUCGCAGCUGAAUGGUUGCCAUGGAGAUUAAAGGACUUCUCAAACAUGCAUGAAAGAUUCAAGGCAACACUUCAGGAACGUUUUAGUAACCAGAAUUGUGAUGUAAUCACAGUAAAAACAUUAAAUCAUUAAGUUCAGAUGUUUAAUUACUGAGCUAAUCCUCCAGGUUUUACCUCGAUGCAUUCCUGCAGGUCUCUGACGUAAACUCUCUCAGUCUGGAGGAGCUCGGCCAUGAUGUACCUGCACACACACACACACACACACACACACACACACAGCAUUAUUAGAUCAGAGCGUCGCUCCCAGCACGCCGCUCACACACCGUACUCACUCCUUCUUGCGGGCGGAACGCCUCUUCUCGUCGCUGACCUGGUGACUCGGGUCAGACAGGUUGACCUCAGGGUCCGAGUCCGACAGGCUGUUGGGGAUGAGCUCCAGCUCCAGGUCCUUGUUGUCCUAAACGAGCGUCGCUGUUAGCCUUCAGAUAACUGUUAGCAUCUGCAGCAGUGGAGGCUUUUAGUCACCUGAGAGCUGCUGCCCAGUGCGGCCUCCAGCAGGUGGCGGUACUGACCCAUCCGGACCGAGAAGUCGCGGUAACGCUUGUCCACCGCCGAAACGCAGCGGCGCAGCUCGGCGCGGUGGGCGUGGCCUUUAGCCAGCAUGCUCUCAGCCAGCUGGAUCAGCAGGUGAACCUUCUCCUGUGUGUGCUGGGAGAAAUUUACUUAGUCAUCGUUUGUUUUGACAGUUUCAUCUUAUCAAAUUAAAACAUCUAAAAAGGACAGAAAUAAUUAUUGUUUACUGUUGGCUUUGAGCUUCACAUUGUCUAGAUGCAAAGGUGCUUCACGUUGCCUGAUGCUAGGAUAACAGCUAAUGCUAAAUUAGCUGUGGAGUAUUUACGUCUGAUUUUUAAAUGAGUUUUAUAUGGCAGCAUAUCAGGGUCAAUAGAAAACAAAAUACAUUUUCUGCCAUAUUCUGAGAUCAAUUUUUAAAAAUUUCUCAAAUAAACAAGGAACUUUGAAAAGACAAAAAU